GAGAGAAUUCAUCACAGGGGCUGAACAGGUCUGCUCCUGUGGUCUGGCUGCUGCAACAUGCUUGAUGGCCCGAGGGCAGUGGUUCUUGAACAGGUGUGUGGCUCGUCCUCAAACCCUGCUAAACCCAAUGACGUUAUAGCCUGAGUGCCUACAGACAGAAAAAAUCAAGAGUGUUGACUGAAAAAAUCAUUUUAUUUAUUCUCUAACCCUUUGCAGCCCAAGCAACACUUUGGUGGGACCCCUCCUACUGGCACCUGAGCAUAACAUGAAUGAAGGGAACAUUCUUCCAGCCUUGGAGGAGAAUGCUGAGCUCUUAAAGCACAGUGCCUGCUAUGAAAGCCCUUCCAGAAGGGAGAAGGAAACCUCCUUACCCUAGAAGGAAACUGAGGCACUGGAUGUGGGGUUUCCUGCCCAAGAUUCUGCAGCAGUGGUGGAACAAGCAGUCUGGCUUUGAUGCAGCACUUUGAGAACAGAACCAGGUCUUUGUGGGAGGUGGGGUCCCAUGGGCUUCACCAGACUGCUGGAGGCAGCCACAGUGUGAAGGUCAUGGACCCCUUUGAGAGGGUCUCUCUUAGCUUCACUCAGCCCAGAAACCAUUUCACCUGGGGGUAAGUUAGAUCCUGGUUGGAGCUACUGGCAGUUCCUUGAAAGCACUGAGCUUUCUCUUUUCCAUACCUUUGUGCGAAC